rnacentral:lncRNA from 1 species
UCACUGCAAGCUCCGCCUCCCGGGUUCAUGCCAUUCUCCUGCCUCAGCCUCCGGAGUAGCUGGGACUACAGGCACCUGCCACCACGCCUGGCUAAUUUUUCGUAUUUUUAGUAGGGACAGGGUUUCACCGUGUUAGCCAGGAUGGUCUUGAUCUCCUGACCUCAUGAUCCGCCCACCUCGGCCUCCCAAAGUGUUGGGAUUACAGGCGUGAGCCACUGCUCCCGGCCUUAUCUCUUUGUUUCUUAUUGGUCUCUUCAGACUUUCUAUUUCUUCUUGAUUCAGUCUUGAUGGAGUCUUGCUCUGUUGCCCAGGCUGGAGUGCAGUGGCACGAUGUUGGCUCACUGCAACUUCUGCCUCCCAGGUUCAAGCGAUUCUACCACCUCAGCCUCCCGAGUAGCUGAGACUACAGGGAAACUUGACUGAGAGGAAGAGAAAGCUAAAGAAGUAUCAAAUUCCUCUCUAAGACAUCUUCACUAGUCUUCCAGAACAUCUCCGCCUUGGGAAGCAGAACUCUGAGGUCCAGGAAGACCUUCCGACCAAUCCACUGAGACAUUGCUACGGCUGCCUCCUCUUCACUUUCUGGCCUCUUGAGCCAACAUCCAACAUGAUCUUCAUGAGAGGUUGCCGGUUACCUUUCUAAAAACGUAUUUGACCAGAUUUCUUCAUGAUAUUUCAAAAUGUAAAGGCAGAAAACAAGUUAAACUUUAAACAAAUUUAAAUUUAAACAAUCUAAAAGGGAAUUUAAGUAAGCGUAUGACUUUGUUGCAGAGGUUCUAGGCUUCCUUUUUUACAAAAGGAUGGGAAAUUUUAAAGCAACUGCUCUGACUAACCCAGAAAAAUCUUUCUUUGUUUAUCUCCUUUGUAUUUAGCCCCAAUAUCUGAGAAAAUUUUAAACAUAGUUUUUUUUUCUAGGAUUGGUGCCUAAGGGUCAUUCCCUUACGAAAACCCUAACUUUUUUUACACCUUUGUUGAAUGAAGGAGCUGGUGGAAGUUCAAAUUUGUGUGUUAACAUGUGACUUCAAUUAGAGUCUGAAGAUGGCCACUUGUUAGUAAUCUCACACUGCAUCAUUUUAAAAAAACACAGCAUUUUUGUUCUGGUGAAGAGAGAGGCACUGGAAUUCAUCCCCAUUGUCCACUCCCCACCCAGUGUAUUUUACAGAAAUUCUUAACAAGUUUAAUAGUGUGCUAUUAUAACAUAAUUGCAGCAUUACACCAGAAGCAUUAUCAACACUAAGUAUUCUCCAAUUUAGAAUGCAUGAAUAAAGUCUCUAAAACUCUUAAGAGUAUCACUUUUU